UCCUGGUCCACCAGCCACCUCACUUCUUCAAUCCAGCCCUCCCUCUCUUAUCCUCCAUUUCUUUCAUUUUCCCAAGCUCCGCUCAUCAAAAGAAAGCCUGCUCAGGACGACAACACAUUCCAGCUGAAACAAAAUAUCCUCAAGCCACCCAGGCUUCCCAUCAUGCCGGAAGUCGCCCACCUGCCCUCCAUGAAGCCUAAUGCAACCCUGACGACCUCCAGCCUCCUGACCACCACCACACCGCUCCCAUGGGAGGAGGUGCACAUGCAGGUGCACACCAUCCUGAUUGUGGUCAUUUUUUGCGUUGUCUGCUUCCUGCUCCUGCUUGCCUUCUUCUACGCCUUCUGUUUCCAUUGCUCCAUCGGUUCUUUGCCUAAAGACUCACGCACAGCCAACAGAUGCAGCCUAGACCGUGAGGACGCCACCUAUAAGUGCAGCUCCUCUGAUAACCAGUCAGUGGGGAACAUUGUCUGAAUGGGGACACUAGGCCAGGAUGACUGAUAUGUGACUAUCAAUGUAUUUGUGUUCUUGUUAUGGUGCCAUGUUUGGAUGUCACAGCAGUGUAACGCAGAGAGUAAUUAUACCUUUCUUAAACCAAAGCAUUAAAUUUGAGCUGUUUGAGCUUA